rnacentral:misc_RNA from 1 species
GAUGAAGAAGGCAGCGAAAUGCGAUAAGUAAUGUGAAUUGCAGAAUUCAGUGAAUCAUCGAAUCUUUGAACGCACAUUGCGCCCCUUGGUAUUCCGAGGGGCAUGCCCGUUCGAGCGUCAUUAUACCCCUCAAGCCUAGCUUGGUGUUGGGGCCUGCUGUUACCGGCAGCCCUUAAAAUCAGUGGCGGUGCCAUCUGGCUCUAAGCGUAGUAAUACUUCUCGCUACAGGGUCCCGGUGGAUGCUUGCCAUCAACCCCUAAUUUUCUAUGGUUGACCUCGGAUCGGGUAGGGAUACCCGCUGAACUUAAGCAUAUCAAUAAGCGGAGGA